UACGAAGGGGACUAGCGUUGUUCGGAAUCACUGGGCGUAAAGCGCACGUAGGCGGAUGUGUCAGUCAGGGGUGAAAUCCCGGGGCUCAACCUCGGAACUGCCUUUGAUACAGCACGUCUCGAGUCCGGAAGAGGUGGGUGGAAUUCCUAGUGUAGAGGUGAAAUUCGUAGAUAUCUGGAGGAACACCGGUGGCGAAGACGGCAUCCUGGACCAACACUGACACUGAGGAGCGAAAGCCAGGGGAGCAAACGGG
rnacentral:rRNA from 1 species